rnacentral:misc_RNA from 1 species
GAGUGACGACCGAAGUCAUCCUGACCAUCACCCCGCAUAUUGUGCAGCCCAUGCGUCCACCCGGGCUGCAAACUCAAGCGUUUUGGUCUGGCACCGAGUCAGUCUAUGCAACGAGCCCGUUGUUUCAGAGUCCUAUGAAGAAGAUCUCCGUUCCCGGGGGGGCACUCAGCAGCAGCGAUCCGCAGGGCUCGCCGAGGCAGGUUGCGGCGGUGCCUGGCGACAGCUUGGCCGCAGAAUCGCGCAAAUUGAUGCCGUACCUUUCUGUGCUGCCGGCCGAUGCCGCCGUCUCGGUUGGCAAGGAGUUUAGGGUCGAUGUCUUUGCGCGGAGGGCGAAAGCCAUCACCGGGGAGACCCUCAAAUUGGCGUUUGACCCACAAGUGAUGGAGUUCCGGGAAGCUGCUGGAGGGGAAUUGUUGGGU